GCACCCGUAGCUCAGCUGGAUAGAGCGCUGCCCUCCGAAGGCAGAGGCCGCCCGUUCGAAUCGGGCCGGGUGCACCA
rnacentral:tRNA from 3 species